UACGUAGGGUGCAAGCGUUAAUCGGAAUUACUGGGCGUAAAGCGUGCGCAGGCGGCUAUGCAAGACAGAUGUGAAAUCCCCGGGCUUAACCUGGGAACUGCAUUUGUGACUGCAUGGCUGGAGUGCGGCAGAGGGGGAUGGAAUUCCGCGUGUAGCAGUGAAAUGCGUAGAUAUGCGGAGGAACACCGAUGGCGAAGGCAAUCCCCUGGGCCUGCACUGACGCUCAUGCACGAAAGCGUGGGGAGCAAACAGG
rnacentral:rRNA from 1 species